rnacentral:rRNA from 1 species
GAUGAACGCUGGCGGCGUGCCUAAUACAUGCAAGUCGAGCGAACAGACGAGGAGCUUGCUCCUCUGACGUUAGCGGCGGACGGGUGAGUAACACGUGGAUAACCUACCUAUAAGACUGGGAUAACUUCGGGAAACCGGAGCUAAUACCGGAUAAUAUAUUGAACCGCAUGGUUCAAUAGUGAAAGACGGUUUUGCUGUCACUUAUAGAUGGAUCCGCGCCGCAUUAGCUAGUUGGUAAGGUAACGGCUUACCAAGGCAACGAUGCGUAGCGGACCUGAGAGGAUGAUAAGGCACAAUGGAACUGAGACCCGGUCGAGACUCCUACGGGAGGCAGCAGUGGGGAAUAGUGGAGAAGGGGCGCAAGACUGAUCCAGUCAUACCGCGUGGGUGAAGAAGGCCUUCGGGUUGUAAAGCCCUUUUGUUGGGAAAGAAAAGCAGCGGGUUAAUACACCGCGGUUCGGACGGUACACAAAGAAUAAGCACCGGCUAACUUCGUG